rnacentral:rRNA from 1 species
UUGAAAGGGAAACGAUUGAAGUCAGGUCGNACCGACNNGNNNNCAGCUUUUCGANUNNGCANNUNUNNNNGUAUGAGAUCUUCAUUGUUUGCAAUAUGUAUGUUUCUUUGGUGUACUUUUUCGUAUGGNAGGUCAAUGUCGGUUUUGAUCGCCAUAAAAUGAUCGGAGGAAUGUAGCUUCGGCCUCGGUUGAAGUGUUAUAGCCUUUGGUAAAUGUGGUGAUUAGGACCGAGGAUUGCAACGAAUACCUUUUAGGCUAUCCGUCUGACCUCUGAAAGUUACUUAGGUGCCGAAAGCUUGCUUACGGUCAUUUAAGUUGACGGUCAAUAGGUUAGAACGUGAUUACAUUCGUUAAGGAUGUUGACGUA